AACCUGGUUGAUCCUGCCAGUAGUCAUAUGCUUGUCUCAAAGACUAAGCCAUGCAUGUCUAAGUAUAAAUGUUAUACAGUGAAACUGCGAAUGGCUCAUUAAAACAGUUAUAGUUUAUUUGAUAAUCGAAUUUUACAUGGAUAACCGUGGUAAUUCUAGAGCUAAUACAUGCUGGUUAGCCUGACUUUUAGGAAGGGCUGUAUUUAUUAAAUAACAAACCAAUAUUCCUUGUGUCUAUUGUGACGACUCAUAAUAACUGAUCGAAUCGCAUGGACUUUGUCCGCGAUAAAUCAUUCAAGUUUCUGCCCCAUCAGCUAUCGAUGGUAGUGUAUUGGACUACCAUGGCUUUAACGGGUAACGGGGGAUUAGGGUUCGAUUCCGGAGAGGGAGCCUGAGAAACGGCUACCACAUCUAAGGAAGGCAGCAGGCGCGUAAAUUACCCAAUCCUAAUUCAGGGAGGUAGUGACAAGAAAUAACGGACCGAAGCUUUUGUUUCGGGAUUGCAAUGAGUCGAAUUUAAACCCCUUAGCGAGGAUCAAUUGGAGGGCAAGUCUGGUGCCAGCAGCCGCGGUAAUUCCAGCUCCAAUAGCAUAUAUUAAAGUUGUUGCAGUUAAAAAGCUCGUAGUUGGAUUUCUGGGAGGGUGCCAAUGUCCGCUUGUUAGCGUGUGCAGCGGCGCCCUCCCAUCCUUCUGUUAACGUUUCUUGGUAUUCACUUACUGGUUUCGGGCUCAGAUAUUUUACCUUGAGAAAAUUAGAGUGUUUCAGGCAGGCUUGCGCCGGAAUACAUUAGCAUGGAAUAA
rnacentral:rRNA from 1 species